rnacentral:rRNA from 1 species
AAUGAACGCUGGCGGCAUGCCUAACACAUGCAAGUCGAACGAAGGCUUCGGCCUUAGUGGCGCACGGGUGCGUAACGCGUGGGAAUCUGCCCUUGGGUUCGGAAUAACAGUUAGAAAUGACUGCUAAUACCGGAUGAUGUCGUAAGACCAAAGAUUUAUCGCCCAAGGAUGGGCCCGCGUAGGAUUAGCUAGUUGGUGGGGUAAAGGCCUACCAAGGCGACGAUCCUUAGCUGGUCUGAUAGGAUGAUCAGCCACACUGGGACUGAGACACGGCCCAGACUCCUACGGGAGGCAGCAGUGGGGAAUAUUGUACAAUGGGCGAUAGCCUGAUCCAGCAAUGCCGCGUGAGUGAUGAAGGCCUUAGGGUUGUAAAGCUCUUUUACCCGGGAUGAUAAUGACAGUACCGGGAGAAUAAGCUCCGGCUAACUUCGUG